AAUGAGUAACUGCUAGAGCUAUAAAUAAGAUCCUGGCUUCAAAUCCUGUCGCCAGCUUAAAGGAAUUUACAGUCAAGUCCCCACUUGUUCAUAAUUAACUACAGUAUCACACCAGGCAAAUCAAAGUCCACACACACAGUGCGGGAGGUGGGGGAGAGGAGCUCGUUUUCACCUAGGGAAGACGAAUGACAGCCAUAGAAGAAGAGGCAUCAUCCUGUCUCUAAAUGGCAGGAGGACUUUGUAUAAGCCUUCCAGACAAUGGAAGCCAUGUGGGCGAAGACUCAGGAGCCGACCUCUGUCAUAGCAGCCUUUCAAACAUGAUGUAGAAGCGAUAUUCAUCUUACUGGGCCCGUAGACAUGAGAAGGUCACCCAAAGAACACCCUAUUGUCUGAAGGGGCUGCUUCUGUUGUGGCUGGAAUCAAAGACUGGGACAACGACAUCUCUGCUUUAACAAGUUCAUGUAAAGCAAGUAACAAAGGGAUGGAAAGGGACAGAAAAUGAGGGCAGAGAUGCAAAACUUUAGUCCUGUCUUGGGUUUUAAGGAAUGUAUUGGGGCCUCAUGAGACAACUGAGCCUAUACAGGUCCUUACCACCAAGUCUGAUGACCUGAGUUUGUCCUGACUACUGGGACCCACAUGGUGGAAGGAGAGAACCAGACCUUGCAAAUUGCCCUCUGACUUCUACAUGCUCCAUGGUGUGUGCAUGUCCACACAAACAAUAUUAAGAAAUGUAAAGAAAAUGCAAACAAUAUUAAGAUUUUCCCUAAGGUCAGAUAUGGCUAGGUUAGGCACUUAUUUUGCUACUCAGUGCUCUCCCAGCAUCAGAAGAAAGCUAGUUUCAGACCCUCAGAGUUAACUUUUAAAUCUGGCUUUUCAACAACAGGAACCACGUACCAUCCAAAGGCCCGGGGAAGAAAUUACAGGUAAAGAACAAGCCCAAGCUGAUAAAUUCGUCAGAAAGUAUAUCCUAAAGUGAACCAUUCAUCUCACCUGCUAUGCAAGACUUCAACUGCUCAAGUCUGGCCACUGUGAUCCAGAGCCUCCUCAUGGCUGCCUGAGGAAGACAAUCGCCUCCUGUUUGCCUUUGGAACAAGACGUAGAACUUGCAGCUCCUCCAGCACCAUGUCUGACUGCACAGUGCCCUGCUU